AUUGAACGCUGGCGGCAGGCCUAACACAUGCAAGUCGAACGGAGCGGCUGACGGGUGAGUAAUGCCUGGGAAUCUGCCUGGUAGUGGUGGAUAACGUCCGGAAACGGGCGCUAAUACCGCAUACUAUCAGAUGAGCCUAGGUCGGAUUAGCUAGUUGGUGGGGUAAAGUCCUACCACGUCGACGAUCCGUAACUGGUCUGAGAGGAUGAUCAGUCACACUGGAACUGAGACACGGUCCAGACUCCUACGGGAGGCAGCAGUGGGGAAUAUUGGACAAUGGGCGAAAGCCUGAUCCAGCCAUGCCGCGUGUGUUAAGAAGGUCUUCGGAUUUUAAAGCACUUUAAGUUGGGAGGCGUUACCAAAAGAAUAAGCACCGGCUAACUUCGUGCCAGCAGCCGCGGUAAUAC
rnacentral:rRNA from 1 species